UUGAAAUCAACUUNUGAAAAGCAAUGGUGAAAUUUGUGACAUCUGUACAACAGUUCUUACAUAUUUCAAGAAUCUACUGCAAGACAACACCACUGAGGGAGAAAUUGUUGAUGGACUCAAGGAACUUUGCGGUUACCUUCCUGAGCAAAUUAAAAGUCAAUGUACUGCUGCUGUAAGUCAAUAUGGGAUGGCACUCUUGAAGCUAAUUGCCUCUUCUGACCCAAAGACCUUGUGCUCUGAUGUUGGUCUUUGUACUUCAAAAGUGAAGAAAAUACAUGAUGCUGCAUUGAAAGAUAAAUGUUACUUUGGUGUAUCGUACUGGUGUGCAAGCCAUGCAAAUGCCAUUGCGUGUAAAAAAACAGCAUACUGCCUGAAAUAUGGAUGGUUGCAAAAGCAAUGAUCAUAAUGGAGACUACAUAAUUAACGCACUAAUAAUAGUAAUAUGACAUCUUUUAGACAUUCUACCACUCUACUAAACAAUAUUGCUAACUGUCAUUGCAAUCCAAUUGGGUACCCCCAAGGACAAGCAUUUGUAAUGAAAAUAUUAUAGGCACUCACAUAUUAUAGGCACUCACACAUUAUAGGUUCAUAAGUAUUAAUUGUAUUAAUGCAGCAUAGAGAAGCCCUGGGAAAUGACAUUAAGAGUGCUUUGCUGACUUUCUUUUCUUAUUAACAUAAUAAGUUUUAAUGCAAGUGUUUGACUAAUCGUUUCUUCAAAAAAAAUACAAAUCUGAACGAGAUAAAAAGAAAAAAUGGUAAAAUUAUCCAAUAUAUAUUUUACACAGGAACCCCAACAGGCAGUCAACAACGUGAGGAAGCUUUUGUUGAAUUUUUUUAUAAAGUAUAUAAUGUAAUGUAUGAUGCAUAGUGGCUAAUAAAGAAAUACAAUAAAAAUCAAUGUAUUA